UAAGACGGAGGGGGCAAGCGUUGUCCGGACUCACUGGGCGUAAAGGGUGCGUAGGCGGUUGUGUGCGUCGGCGCUGAAAUCCAUGGGCUCAACCCAUGGGCGCGUGCCGAUACGAUGCGACUGGAGGCUCGGAGAGGGUGGGAGAACUCCUGGUGUAGUGGUGAAAUGCGUAGAGAUCAGGAAGAAUACCCGUGGCGCAAGCGCCCACCUGGCCGAGACCUGACGCUGAGGCACGAAAGCGUGGGGAGCGAACCGGAUUAGAUACCCGGGUAGUCCACGCCGUAAACGAUGUCGACUCGGGGUGUGUGUCCCGUUAAGGGACGUGCGCCCCCAAGCGUACGCGGAAGUCGACCGCCUGGGAACUACGAGCGCAAGCUUA
rnacentral:rRNA from 1 species